rnacentral:rRNA from 1 species
UGAGAAAAGGGGGCGAAGGGAGGAACUAAAGGGUCUCCGUUGGUGAACCAGCGGAGGGAUCAUUACCGAGUUAUCCAACUCCCAACCCCUGUGAAUCAUACCUUUAAUUGUUGCUUCGGCGGGACUUCGCGCCCGCCGGGGACCCAAACCUUCUGAAUUUUUUAAUAAGUAUCUUCUGAGUGGUUAAAAAAAAUGAAUCAAAACUUUCAACAACGGAUCUCUUGGUUCUGGCAUCGAUGAAGAACGCAGCGAAAUGCGAUAAGUAAUGUGAAUUGCAGAAUUCAGUGAAUCAUCGAAUCUUUGAACGCACAUUGCGCCCGUCAGUAUUCUGGCGGGCAUGCCUGUUCGAGCGUCAUUACGCCCCUCAAGUCCCCUGUGGACUUGGUGUUGGGGAUCGGCGAGGCUGGUUUUCCAGCACAGCCGUCCCUUAAAUUAAUUGGCGGUCUCGCCGUGGCCCUCCUCUGCGCAGUAGUAAAGCACUCGCAACAGGAGCCCGGCGCGGUCCACUGCCGUAAAACCCCCCAACUUUUUAUAGUUGACCUCGAAUCAGGUAGGACUACCCGCUGAACUUAAGCAUAUGAA